rnacentral:rRNA from 1 species
UACGUAGGGUGCGAGCGUUAAUCGGAAUUACUGGGCGUAAAGCGUGCGCAGGCGGCGCGUUAAGACAGGUGUGAAAGCCCCGAGCUUAACUUGGGAAUUGCGCUUGUGACUGGCGGGCUGGAGUGUGGCAGAGGGAGGUGGAAUUCCUGGUGUAGCGGUGAAAUGCGCAGAUAUCAGGAGGAACACCAAUUGCGAAGGCAGCUCGCUGGGACGUAACUGACGCUGAGACGCGAAAGCGUGGGGAGCAAACAGG